rnacentral:misc_RNA from 1 species
AUUCCUCUUAGCUCAAAAAAUCAACUAGUAGUAUAUUGAGUUGAUCAAAUGGCUUCCAUGACAAUGACAACCUCCUUGGCCGGCGGUUCGAUCGCGGCCCUGACCAAAGCCCCGGCCGCGACCCGUGGUGCUAGGGUUGUUAUGGUGAAAGCAAGUUCUCACGUGUCUGAGGGAGAAAAUGUUGUAAUGAGCAACAAGAAGGAGAUCAACAACAACAACGGUGGUCGUAGGGAGUUGUUCUUUGCCAUGGCGGCCGCUGCCGCAUGUUCUGUGGCUGGGGCCGCCAUGGCAGACGAUGAGCCGAAGCGCGGCUCACCGGAGGCCAAGAAGAAGUACUUUCAAGUUUGUGUCUCAAAUCCUACUGCUAGAAUUUGCCGCAAUGCAACUUAGAAGGGCAAGUGUUUUGUCUAUUUAAUCAUUUCUUGUACUUAUUAUGCUAUGGUUUUAAUUAAUGUGA